UGGGGCUCGCCAGUCGCUUCUGAGUGCUGCCUAAGGUCUGAGCAGAGCUCCUCUCUUCAUGUCUGCAAUGGGUUCUGCAGCGAUAUCUGGGUGUCCGGGCCUGCCCACGCUGUGACCCCAGCACAGAGCCAGCUGCCAGGCUUGGUGGGGCCUCUGGGAGCACGUGGAUAGUGCCAAAAGAGGAGGUGGGAACAGACAGAGUGAGGAAGGAGUGAAUGAGAGGACAGAGAAAGCUGCAGCCCACAGAUCUUCCAUGACAAAGCAGAUGGUCAUAUCCAGAGGAACUGUGGCCUGUGUAGAACCCACGGUAGAGUACAUCUUCCUGGGGGACAGUGGCCCUUGGAGAAGCCAUGCCGGAUUGGAGAGACUGUGUGAGAGGGAACCACGAGGAGAAACUCUGACUGACAGUACUGCUCUCCGUUCCCACUCUGCUGGUUGGGGCAUACAUUGCUUGGUUUCCAGUGAAGUGGAGCCUAGCUAAGGCAAGGAAGACACAUUCUUACUGAUAUUUAUCUUCUUGUUUCUCACUAUCCAGAUUAGAAAUUAACAUUCUUAACUAGCAGCAAAUGAAUUUUCUUCAGGCCUUUUUUUGUCUGUAAGAGCAAUUGGCAAGCAGUCUCCCUGACUUUGGCUUAAUCCAGGAACUGUCUCAUCCCUGUGUAUCCUUGUUCCCUCCUGGUCCUGCUGGUGGGAUGUGUAAGAGAAUGGGUGGAAGUCAAGGCUGCUAGAGGUACAUGACCGGAAUACAGCACUCCUAGCACAGCAUGUGAAAGUAUCCUUCACAGUAAAAACAGCUACUUUCAGACCUGAAACUGUCCAGGUCUGUCAAAACGUUCUUAGAUUUGAUAAGCAGAAAUAAUGCCACUUUUUAUGAAGAGGUGUGAAUAUGAGAUUGUGACUGAUCCUACCAAGUUUUUAGUUUGGUCCUAAUCUGGUAGUGAAGUAUGAAUUGAAUCCACUAGCCUGCACCUUGCGCUACGUAAUACGUACCAUUAUGUUCCUAAACCUGUAUCGCUGAAAUCAAUGAGAAUCUUAUCAACAGAGAGAUACAGAGGAUGACUGCAGGAUGAGGAUUUAUGUGCCUGACUGAAAAUGCAACCUACCCAGGAUAAUAUUAUAUUUUCUAAUAAAUGAAUCAUAAAAUUCAAAGCAAAGGGAUGGAAGGACUGGACAGAGGCUAAAUAGGAAUCAAUAAAACAGUCAUGUUAUUCUCAAGGGGGUUAUCGAGUCAGUCCCUUAUACAAUCAUCUUCUGACAAUCCAGUUUGUGUUUGUCAGUCUUAAUGUUAAUUUCCUGUAAGACCCUUUGCCCUUUGGCAAAGAAGAGAUUUCUCUAAUCCUGAUGAUUUAUCCUCUCUCAUCAAAAAAACCAACAUUAAAACUUUUGAAGAACAUCCCAACCCCUUAUUUUGUGCCUUCAUUCACCUAGCAAUCCAGGUAAUCCAUUUUGGUUUUCCCUCAUCUGCAUUUCACUUUAUCAGUUCGGGUAAUGUUAUUCAGUACUUUAACUUAUGGUGCAUCUUUCUGUAGUUGUAGAACAGGAAUAAAAAUGGUUAGGAUGUAUUUUCAGUAAAAAAUCUCAGAAAAGGAAGCUCCGAUAUAGUUUGGGUUUUACAAAAGUUUAGUUCUGAUUUGUCUAAAAAGUGAUCUUCCACACCUAUGACUGCAGUUUCUCCUGACAACACAUACUAAAUGACCAAUUAUAUGUAAUUUUG
rnacentral:lncRNA from 1 species